UACAGAGGUCCCGAGCGUUGUUCGGAUUCAUUGGGCGUAAAGGGUGCGUAGGCGGUUUUUUAAGUUUGAUGUGAAAUCCCGGGGCUCAACCCUGGAAUUGCAUUGAAUACUGAAGAACUAGAGAUCUGGAGAGGAAACUGGAAUUUACGGUGUAGCAGUGAAAUGCGUAGAGAUCGUAAGGAAGACCAGUGGCGAAGGCGAGUUUCUGGACAGAUACUGACGCUGAGGCGCGAAAGCUAGGGGAGCGAACGGG
rnacentral:rRNA from 1 species